rnacentral:rRNA from 1 species
GACGAACGCUGGCGGCGUGCUUAACACAUGCAAGUCGAACGAGUUCGGAGGGCAGAAGACAGAGGUCAGAGGUAGGAAUUAAAAGAAGAAAUCGGCGUAGCCGAUUUGAACAAAAAUUCCGAUUUCCGACUUCCGACUUCUGACUUCUGAUACUAGUGGCGGACGGGUGAGUAACGCGUGGGCAACCUACCCAUAAGAGGGGGAUAACAGUUGGAAACGACUGCUAAUACCGCAUAAACUGUUAAGAUUGCAUGAACUUAACAGAAAAGAUGGCCGAUAGACAAAGCUAUCACUUAUGGAUGGGCCCGCGUCUGAUUAGCUAGUUGGUGGGGUAGAAGCCUACCAAGGCAACGAUCAGUAGCCGGCCUGAGAGGGUGGACGGCCACACUGGGACUGAGAUACGGCCCAGACUCCUACGGGAGGCAGCAGUGGGGAAUAUUGCGCAAAUGGGGGAAACCCUGACGCAGCGACGCCGCGUGAGCGAAGAAGGCCUUAGGGUCGUAAAGCUCUGUUA